CAUGUGGAAUAUUUGCCAUCAAAGUAAGUUUUUGAAUUGCAUAUUUCUUUACGGAAACAUGAAGCAGAUUUUGAAAAGGUCUCCUUUUCAACAUUUAAACUCCUAGAGAGACAUAAAGUUGAUGAAUUUUGAUUAAGUUAAACUGGGCCAGUAUGUUUUGAAUAUUCAUUUAUUCAAACAUGUUCUUAGUAUGCUGAGAAAGUCCUGGCAGAGGAGUCUCCUACUUUCCCAAACACUGAAGGGGCAGUGGUUAAUUACAGGAGGGAAAUUACUGUAGCACUUCUCAAUGAGACUGGUAUGUUAACCAUUUUCAAACUUCUAUUAACACCAUGAGGAUUUCAAUAUCAUUAAUUCAAUGAAUAUAAAAAAGUCUAGAAAGUUAGUAUGUAUCACUUAUGGUGUAUUUUCCCAUGGAAAUAAGAAGAAAAUAUUAUAUGCAAUCAAUACCAUAUCUUAACCAGAUGAUCUCAGUGAGCUGUGCCACCACUGUGGAGAGGGAGAAGAAGCGCGAGGGGGGUCUCAAGACAGACCUAAUGCCACUGACUGGAUCCAGUGUGACACCUGUGGAAGGUGGUACCACGAGGGUUGUGUUGGGAGACCUGACAGAGAUCCUAUGUACAGCUGUCCUGCAUGCCACCAGGCUCAAAUGAGUCGAUGCCGUCCAAAACGGUCCAAAAAAAGAUAACCAUGUCACAUGAUUAUCACGCCUUCCCGUGAGGAUGGACACUGUCUUUCAGCGACCCUCACAACCCUCAUCGACACCCCCCCCCCCCCCCACCGACCCCCCUUCCCGUGAGGAUGGACACUGUGUUUCAGCGACCCUCACAACCCUCAUCACCACCCCCCACCCACCCCCCUGCCCGUGAGGAUGGACACUGGGGUUACAGCGGCCCUCACAACCCCCACCACCACCCCACCCCUUUCAAGUGUGCAUAUUGUAUAUAGUUCUACUUCUAUUGUAUAUAGUUCUCUGCAAACCUAUGGUGGCAUCAUGCCUUCACUGUGCAUAUUGUAUAUAGUUCUACUUCUAUUGUAUAUAGUUCUCUGCAAACCUAUGGUGGCAUCAUGCCUUCACUGUGCAUAUUGUAUGUAGUUCUCUGCAAACCUAUGGUGGCAUCAUGCCUUCACUGUGCAUAUUGUAUGUAGUUCUCUGCAAACCUAUGGUGGCAUCAUGCCUUCACUGUGCAUAUUGUAUGUAGUUCUCUGCAAACCUAUGGUGGCAUCAUGCCUUCACUGUGCAUAUUGUAUGUAGUUCUCUGCAAACCUAUGGUGGCAUCAUGCCUUCAGUGUGCAUAUUGUAUGUAGUUCUCUGCAAAACUAUGGUGGCAUCAUGCCUUCACUGUGCAUAUUGUAUGUAGUUCUCUGCAAACCUAUGGUGGCAUCAUGCCUUCAGUGUGCAUAUUGUAUAUAGUUCUCUGCAAACCUAUGGUGGCAUCAUGCCUUCAGUGUGUCUUGAACAACCACACAAGGUUGCCAAUUUAUAUGAAUUUUGUUGAUGUAUUUGCACGUUUAAUCUUGCUGAAUUCUACAAGGCAAAUUAAUUAAUUUAAAACUUUAAUGGGGCCGUUCCCCGUUCUCGCAGACAUGAAUAAUUGUGUCCAAAUACAGAUAUGAGGACGACAAAUGACCUGAAAAGAUUUGGUUGGGGUUUGCCUAAUUUUUCCUGCAUUUACAGUGUGGGCGCAGAAUUCGACGGUGCGCUAGAUUGAUUGUGGCAUCGUUGAUUGCGACCUGCGUUGCUUGUGGACUCUGUGAUGAUCGCAGACAUGAAUAAUUGUGUCCAAAUACAGAUAUGAGGACGACAAAUGACCUGAAAACAUUUGGUUGGGGUUUGACUCAUUUUCCCCGCAUUUACAGUGUGGGCGCAGAUUUCGACGGUCUGCUGUCAUGAAUUGUGACCCAUCGGGGAUUGCGACCUGCUGCUUGUGGACUCUGUGAUGAUCGCAGUUAUGAAUAAUUGUGUGCACAUACAGAUAUGAGGACGACAAAUGACCUGAAAACAUUUGGUUGGGGUUUGACUCAUUUUCCCCGCAUUUACAGUGUGGUCGCAGAUUUCGACGGUCUGCUGUCAUGAAUUGUGACCCAUCGGGGAUUGCGACCUGCUGCUUGUGGACUCUGUGAUGAUCGCAAACAUGAAUAAUUGUGUCCAAAUACAGAUAUGAGGACGACAAAUGACAUGAAAACACUUGGUUGGGGUUUGACUCAUUUUCCCUGCAUUUAUAGUGUGGGCGCAGAAUUCGACGGUGCGCUAGAUUGAUUGUGGCAUCGUUGAUUGCGACCUGCGUUGCUUGUGGACUCUGUGAUGAUCGCAGACACGAAUAAUUGUGUCCAAAUACAGAUAUGAGGACGACAAAUGACCUGAAAACAUUUGGUAGGGGUUUGACUCAUUUUCCCCGCAUUUACAGUGUGGGCGCAGAAUUCGACGGUCUGCUAUCAUGAAUUGUGACCCAUCGGGGAUUGCGACCUGCUGCUUGUGGACUCUGUGAUGAUCGCAGACACGAAUAAUUGUGUCCAAAUACAGAUAUGAGGACGACAAAUGACCUGAAAACAUUUGGUUGGGGUUUGAUUCAUUUUCCCCGCAUUUACAGCGUGGUCGCAGAUUUCAGCGGUCUGCUGUCAUGAAUUGUGACCCAUCGGGGAUUGCGACCUGCUGCUUGUGGACUCUGUGGUGAUCGCAGUUAUGAAUAAUUGUGUGCACAUACAGAUAUGAGGACGACAAAUGACCUGAAAACAUUUGGUUGGGGUUUGACUCAUUUUCCCCGCAUUUACAGUGUGGUCGCAGAUUUCGACGGUCUGCUGUCAUGAAUUGUGACCCAUCGUGGAUUGCGACCUGCUGCUUGUGGACUCUGUGAUGAUCGCAAACAUGAAUAAUUGUGUCCAAAUACAGAUAUGAGGACGACCAAUGACCUGAAAACAUUUGGUUGGGGUUUGAUUCAUUUUCCCCGCAUUUACAGUGUGGUCGCAGAUUUCGACGGUCUGCUGUCAUGAAUUGUGACCCAUCGUGGAUUGCGACCUGCUGCU
rnacentral:lncRNA from 1 species